GGUCCCAUAUUGAACUCGAGUUGGAAGAGGCGAGUCCGGUCUCAAAAUGGAGGGCCAUGAUCCAAAGGAGCCUGAGCAGCUGAGGAAGCUGUUUAUUGGUGGGCUGAGCUUUGAAACCACAGAUGAUAGCUUAAGAGAACAUUUUGAGAAAUGGGGCACACUUACAGACUGUGUGGUAAUGAGAGAUCCCCAAACAAAACGUUCCAGAGGCUUUGGUUUUGUGACCUACUCUUGUGUUGAAGAGGUGGAUGCUGCAAUGUGUGCUCGGCCACACAAGGUUGAUGGACGUGUGGUGGAACCAAAGAGAGCUGUUUCUAGAGAGGAUUCUGUAAAGCCUGGUGCCCAUUUAACGGUGAAGAAAAUUUUUGUUGGUGGUAUUAAAGAGGAUACGGAAGAAUAUAACCUGAGAGACUACUUUGAAAAGUAUGGCAAGAUUGAAACCAUAGAGGUUAUGGAAGACAGGCAGAGUGGGAAAAAGAGAGGAUUUGCUUUUGUAACUUUUGAUGAUCAUGACACAGUUGAUAAAAUUGUUGUUCAGAAAUACCACACUAUUAAUGGGCAUAAUUGUGAAGUGAAAAAGGCCCUUUCUAAACAAGAGAUGCAGUCUGCUGGAUCCCAGAGAGGUCGUGGAGGUGGAUCUGGCAACUUUAUGGGUCGUGGAGGAAACUUUGGAGGUGGUGGAGGAAACUUUGGUCGUGGAGGAAACUUUGGUGGAAGAGGUGGCUAUGGUGGUGGAGGUGGUGGCAGCAGAGGUAGUUAUGGAGGUGGUGAUGGUGGAUAUAAUGGAUUUGGAGGUGAUGGUGGCAACUAUGGUGGUGGUCCUGGUUACAGUAGUAGAGGAGGAUAUGGAGGUGGUGGACCAGGUUAUGGAAACCAGGGUGGAGGAUAUGGUGGUGGAGGAGGAGGAUAUGAUGGUUACAAUGAAGGAGGAAAUUUUGGUGGAGGUAACUAUGGUGGUGGUGGAAACUAUAAUGACUUUGGAAAUUAUAGUGGACAGCAACAAUCAAAUUAUGGACCCAUGAAGGGGGGCAGUUUUGGUGGAAGAAGCUCAGGCAGUCCCUAUGGUGGUGGCUAUGGAUCUGGAGGUGGAAGUGGUGGAUAUGGUAGCAGAAGGUUUUAAAUAAAACAGAAACGGCUACAGUUCUUAGCAGGAGAGAGAGCGAGGAGUUGUCAGGAAAGCUGCAGGUUACUUUGAGACAGUCGUCCCAAAUGCAUUAGAGGAACUGUAAAAAUCUGCCACAGAAGGAACGAUGAUCCAUAGUCAGAAAAGUUACUGCAGCUUAAACAGGAAACCCUUCUUGUUCAGGACUGUCAUAGCCACAGUUUGCAAAAAGUGCAGCUAUUGAUUAAUGCAAUGUAGUGUCAAUUAGAUGUACAUUCCUGAGGUCUUUUAUCUGUUGUAGCUUUGUCUUUUUCUUUUUCUUUUCAUUACAUCAGGUAUAUUGCCCUGUAAAUUGUGGUAGUGGUACCAGGAAUAAAAAAUUAAGGAAUUUUUAACUUUUCAAUAUUUGUGUAGUUCAGUUUUUCUACAUUUUAGUACAGAAACUUUAACAAAAUGCAGUUUUGAAGGUGUUUCCUUGUGAGUUAACAAGUAAAGAAGAUCAUUGUUAAUUACUAUUUUGUAUGAAUUUUGCUAAAGUUAACUGUAAAGAAACACCUACUGACAUGCAAUUUAAGGAGAAUCUAUUCUCCCCAUUUCCAAAACAAUGAUGAAUGGGCGCUGACAUGUGGCGAGAAUAGAUAUUUGUAUGUUUGCAAUGUGUGUUUUAGAUAAUUAGAAUUGGGAAAUAAAAAACAGCAUAUUUGUGAAUUCUAAUAGCAUUAAGAUUACCUUCAAAUGAAAAAGAUCUCAAAAGUU